rnacentral:rRNA from 1 species
AACGAACGCUGGCGGCAGGCUUAACACAUGCAAGUCGAACGCCCCGCAAGGGGAGUGGCAGACGGGUGAGUAACGCGUGGGAAUCUACCCAGUUCUACGGAAUAACCCAGGGAAACUUGGACUAAUACCGUAUACGCCCUACGGGGGAAAGAUUUAUCGGAAUUGGAUGAGCCCGCGUUGGAUUAGCUAGUUGGUGGGGUAAUGGCCUACCAAGGUGACGAUCCAUAGCUGGUCUGAGAGGAUGAUCAGCCACACUGGGACUGAGACACGGCCCAGACUCCUACGGGAGGCAGCAGUAGGGAAUAUUGGACAAUGGGCGCAAGCCUGAUCCAGCCAUGCCGCGUGAGUGAUGAAGGCCUUAGGGUUGUAAAGCUCUUUCAGUGGGGACGAUAAUGACGGUACCCACAAAAGAAGCCCCGGCUAACUUCGUGCCAGCAGCCGCCGUAAAAC